CCCAUAAGGAUGAGUGUGAUAACAGAGUGGGUUGGCUGGGUGAGGGGGGAGCUGGAGGUUGUUGGCUGUGCUGUGAAGAGUUGCCCAUGAAAAAUCACUGAAAAGGUCAUCACAGCAGCUGUGCCUAUUUGAAGAUGUAGAUCUGUGGGGUUUUCAAGCUCAGUUAGAAGCACCUUUCUACCAAGACUUCAGUACUGCUGUUGAUACUUCUGGAGGGCCUGAAGAACUGUUUGAACUGUCAUGAGGCUGGUAGAUCUGAGCAGUGCUGGAUACGAUGUGGAAGGCCAGUGAUGACAGAGGCAGUGCUACAACAUGGGUGUCUGACCACAGGGCUCAAACUCCUGGAAGAAGCACGUUCAUCCCUUCUGUGAAUUAUGACUGGCAAAAUUCUUCACCUUGGGAAAGAGCUGAAGUGAGUUACAUAAAGCAGCUGCUGUUGGCAUUGCUUCCAUUCUUACAUGACCUAAUUGCAUGGAAAAGACUGACUUAUAAUCAUAAGUGCACGUAGCAACUUGAGUAGACCUCAUUUAUCCUAUUCAAAAAUAUUCUGACUGCAUGAAACCCUUGCUCUGACAUGAAACCCUGCAGGCUUUUUCCUGAGAAAAUAACUGCCUGUUCCAUGGAUGUUUUUGCACAGCCAUCACUGCUGCACUGGAGUGGAUAUGCGAUAUGCAGUUGUUAAUAAGUUCAGUGAAAAGCUACUUUAGAAUCUAGUCGUGGUUCACAGAUGCUGUAAACAUCUAUUUUGAUCAUUUAGGAAACAUGGCUGCUUUUACUAAAAGCAGUGCCUGGGAUGAUUUUGUUUUGAUUGUUCAGCACUGUUGGUGUUGAAAAUAGGUGUGUCAGCAUUUGAAAGAUGGUCCUCAGGCACUCAGAUUUCUUUAAUAGCAAGCAAAAUUCUCAUUAACAGGCAAUUUAAAAAAGCAAUACUAUUCAUUUUUUGGGCUAUUAAGCAUAUAGAGUGUUUAUAUUUCCAGCAAAGAAUGAAUUAAUGGAAAAUAAAGUUCUGUCAUGCACUAGUGCCACAGCAUUUCAACAUAAUGUAUGUGAGGCUGGUUACAAGUCAGCCUUUCAACAGGAUUAUACAUGAUCAAAGCUUCUCAAGUGAGAACUAGGUAGCUUAAACGAUUGAAAACAAUUCUAAUGUUUGUUUUCUCUCUUUCAAAUCGAAGGUUUUUUGUUUUUUCCUUGUUAAACUAAAAAAGCCCCUACACCUGUGGGUCUCUGUAUCUCCCUAAUUACAGGCAGUUGUGUUCAGUGUCACAUCCCUUCAGCGCAGACAGCUCAGGUGUUUUGCCUCAGGUGCACAUUGCUGGUAGGAUCCACCGCAUCAGCCUGAAAAUAUCUGCCUGUUUUGAUGUCUAAAUAAGAGAUCAGGGCCAGGUCAUGGCAAGGGAAAGUGCUGCUCUUUGAAGGAAAGUCCCAGCAGGUAGGAGUGUGUCUGGCAAGGAGGGAUGAACUCGUUCACAGGGGCCUGACUUUCCACCCUCACCUUCCACAAACCCUGACUUCUCAGAGUGAUCAUUCACCAUGGGAGGCCUGGUGCCUGAAGUAGUUAUCUAUCACUAUAAACACAUCUCAAACCAUCAAACACAUCCCACAGGGCUCUUUCAGAUGUUAGGUUACUGAUUUUAAGUCAAUGAAGUGACUUCUGAAUUUUUAUGUGCAUGGACAUAAUGCUAGAGUCUAACAAAAUUCAGUGCUUUUGAAAAAAUCUAUUAACAAGAUAAUACUGAAGUCUUAUUAAUUAAUUGUUUAUCAUUAUCCAGAAAACACCCAUGCAAUCAAGCACAGAUGUUUGGUUUUGAUAUAAAGCUCAUGAAAACCACAACCACACUCACUGCUGUAGGACCUAGUGAAAAUUUGCUAUCACUGUAGCAAUGAUACACGAUUGGAAUUAUUGUUCUGAACAAACCUGUGGGAAGUGGAAAAACAGAAACUUCCACAGGCACUGAGGGGUUUGAUCUGCAGACUUGGAAGAAGCUCAGAUUGAUGUAAAAAUACAAUACACAGACAUUAAGUAGAAAAAUCAUAAACUUACGUUUUUAUAGUUGUAAGUAAGAAUGUGCCUUAAGUAAGUGAGAAACUGUAUUGAUAAGGUGGUGAAGAGUUUAUAGUAUAGGGGUGUGGUUGUGUGGAGUAAGCUAAGAGUUUGGAAGUUAAUAUAGAAGUGUGUUAUGAUAGAAUAUAUGUGUGUUAUGGUGGAAUACAUGUGUUUAUUUGAGAUAGCAGCCCAUUGGACAAAAGCAUCUGCAGUGCAGCAAAAUGAGGUAAAGGUAAUAGGUUAGAAAAACAAAAUAAACUUUGUGGCAUCUCUCUACUGGAUUAGAAAGUUAUAUAUUGUCCUGUAACAAGGAACUUGUGACUACUUGGAGCUCUGGCUGACUGCUUGCUCCCUUAAAAUC